UCCCUCCAGACAGCUUAAGCCUCAGACCUAAAUUCUGGUCUGAGUGGGUAAAAAUUGAGGAGGAAAAGCAAGACGGAAAUGGACUUAAGUCCUUGGUGACACACAAGUUCAUUUUAAACACAC
rnacentral:snoRNA from 1 species